CAGGUAGGGAUACCCGCUGAACUUAAGCAUAUCAAUAAGC
rnacentral:rRNA from 1 species